CUCAUUUUCUCUUGCCUCUGCUAUGUAAGAAAACCUUUCACCUCCCACCAUGAUUUUGAGACCUCCCCAGCCAAGUGGAACUGAAGGGUCCUGUCCUGUACCCGGGAGGAAGAAAUGCUACACAGAGAAGCCAAGAUGAAUCUGAACAGACAGCCUUUGAUGUUAGAAGACACUGAGGCAUCAACAGGGUUUAAUUCCAUACUCUGUCAUCGAAUAUAGCAAUUGUAAUUGCACCAAUCAGCACUUUGUGUCAAGCUCAAGAUUUGUAAAUGCACCGAUCAGCACUCUGUGUCUAGC
rnacentral:lncRNA from 1 species